rnacentral:misc_RNA from 1 species
UUUCCGUAGGUGAACCUGCGGAAGGAUCAUUAAAAAUGAAGCCGGGAAACCGGUCCUUCUCACCCUUGAUUAUCUCAAAUUGUUGCUUUGAUGGGCCGCGCAAGCACCGGCUUCGGCUGGAUCGUGCCCGCCAGAGGACCACAACUCUGUAUUAUAUGUCGUCUGAGUACUAUAAAAUAGUUAAAACUUUCAACAACGGAUCUCUUGGUUCUG